rnacentral:rRNA from 1 species
CCUACGGGAGGCAGCAGUGAGGAAUAUUGGUCAAUGGACGAAAGUCUGAACCAGCCAAGUAGCGUGAAGGAUGACUGCCCUAUGGGUUGUAAACUUCUUUUAUAAAGGAAUAAAACGAGGCACGUGUGCCGUCUUGCAUGUACCUUAUGAAUAAGGAUCGGCUAACUCCGUGCCAGCAGCCGCGGUAAUACGGAGGAUCCGAGCGUUAUCCGGAUUUAUUGGGUUUAAAGGUAGCGUAGAGGGGUUGUUAAGUUAGUUGUGAAAGUUUGCGGCUCAACCGUACAAUUGCAGUUGAUACUGGCAGUCUUGAGUACAGGUGAGGUAGGCGGAAUUCGUGGUGUAGCGGUGAAAUGCUUAGAUAUCACGAAGAACCCCGAUUGCGAAGGCAGCUUAC